UACGGGGGGAGCAAACGUUGUUCGGAAUCACUGGGCGUAAAGGGCGCGUAGGCGGUCCUGUAAGUGGUGUGUGAAAUCCGAUGGCUCAACCAUCGAGCUGCGCUCCAUACUGCAGGACUUGAGUACAGCAGAGGAAAGUGGAAUUCCCGGUGUAGCGGUGAAAUGCGUAGAUAUCGGGAGGAAUACCGAUGGCGAAGGCAGGUCUCUGGGCUAUAACUGACGCUGAGGCACGAAAGCGUGGGGAUCAAACAGG
rnacentral:rRNA from 1 species